rnacentral:tRNA from 2 species
GGAGCUGUGCCUGAAACAAAGGAUUACUUUGAUAGAGUAAAUAAUGAAGGUUAAAAUCCUUCCAACUCCU